rnacentral:lncRNA from 1 species
UUUUUUUUUGUUUGUUUGCUUUACCUGGUAUUAUACUUAUGCUUAAAUUGAAAGGAUUUGAUUGAUUACAGAAAACUUGAAACAAUUGUUAGUCCUUCUGUUGGCGAUGGACAACUUAGUGAAUUGAAGUCUUUGUUGAUAAGGGUUAAGAAAAUAUUCCAAAGAUUUUUAAAUUCAAGUUUAGUGAGCUGUUGGGCCUAACAGCCCACACUAACAGAGCUUUCACUCUUUAACCUCUAAGAGUGACUAACUUCUAAUUUCUCCUUACAAUAUCACCUGAAAAUCACACAUUAAGGUCACAAGAAUCAUAGUUAGUGGAGGGGACUGGUUAGGAGACCCGGCGAACAUCAAAGGAGUAUCUCUUUGUUUUCGUUUUGGCCCUAUGACGUCACCACGAGAGUGCACAGUCAAUCAGCUGAAUACAGAGCGCAUGGGGAAGACAUUGACAAGAAGCGAUACUUUACGUAGAUUUUUGAUUACAUGGAAAUAAUUAUUGGAGUUUUAACUAUAUAGUUUUAUAAUAUGCCAUGCCAGGCCGAAACUGUGCGGUCUUUGGCUGUGGAUCGUGAAGGCGGACCAAAGGAAUUGGAAUUUGGAAACCGCCAAAGGCAGACGACGCGAAACAUCGCAAAGGGCACGAAUCUUGGCUCGGAAAACUCAAGAAAAUUCGGGUAAUUGACUCCGAUUUUAGGGAGCAAUUCAAGAACGAUCAAGUCUACACUUGGGAGAAGCAUUUUUCACCCGAAGAUUUCGAGAUAUUUUCUACUGACAACACAACUCGAAAGAAUCCGAGAUUCAACGCAUUAUCUAAGUUAAAUAUGCCUACGAAAAGCAUUGAAUCUCGCAAGCCAAUGCCGAGACCAGAGCGUCACCAUCAUCUAGCAGAUUCAGUUUGCACUGACAUCAACUCAGAUGUAUGCUGAUGACAUUGCAUCCCAUGUCCUGGUAUUUAUGGUGCGUGGCAUUUGUACUGAACUUAAGUUUACCUUGGCUAAUUUUGCUACCACAGGAGUUACAUCAUAUCAGCUCAUGCCCUUGUUCUGGGAAGCAGUAUGCCUAUUAGAAAUCACAUGCAAUCUUUGGGUGGUUGCUACCACAGCAGAUGGUGCAAGUCCAAAUAGAAAGUUCUUUCAUCUUCACAAUGCACUUGGAGAUGUGCAAUGUGAUGUGUGCUACACACAAAGAAUCUCUAUGCCCCACACAGAUAUAUAUACUUUUUUAGUGAUGCACCACAUCUCAUCAAGACAACAAGGAAUUGUCUUAUGCUUUCAGGGGCAACAAAGGGAACCAGAUACAGGUGGAAUGAUGGACAGUAUGUCUUGUGGCAGCAUAUCACAAGAAUGGUGUAUGAGGACUUCAACAAUGGUCUGAAACUGCUGCCCAAGCUUACAUAUGAGCAUAUUAACUUGAAUGCUUAUUCAGUUAUGAGGGUUAAUCUUGCUGCAGAAGUCUUGAGCUCAACAAUGGCAGCAGUCCUAAAAGCAUUUAGCCCCCUGAAGCAGCUGGCACUGCCAAACUCUGUGAAAUGGUUGAUCGUUUCUUCAACUGUUUAAAUGUGAGAAGCAGGAUUGAACAUAUCCGUAAGCGCAAGCCCUUCCUGGCUCCAUGUACAUCACUUCAGGAUGAGAGAUUUGAAUUCCUGAUGAAAUGUUUGGGGAACCUGAACUCAUGGAAAACCAGCACAGAGAACAAACCUGGUAAUUACACCCAGAAUGCCAGAGCCAAAAUGUUCUUAACCUGGCAGACACAUGAGGGAUUUGAAAUCACUGUCCGUUCUGCAAUUGAAUGUACAAAGUUCCUUCUCCAGGAAGGAAUGGAAUUUAUUUUGAUAGGACGCUUCUGUCAAGACCCAGUUGAAUAAUAUUUUGGAGACCAGCGCAAACUUGGCAGGCAUUGUGAUAAUCUAGAUAUUCACCAAUUUGGAUAUAAUGCCAACACCAUCCACAUCCAGCGGUCUGUUUCAUGCAAAAGCGGUAACACCAGGGGGAGGAAGGAUAAGCAUCGACAAUGGGAACAAGUGACAAAUGAUAAAUUGCCAUGCAGAACGAGAAGAAAAACUGAAUGAUAGUUAUUCAUUGUUAAAAUCAAUUCAAGUAUCAAUUAGCCUCAAGUGAUAAUGAUCAUAAUUAGAUCUUACAUUUUGAAAGAUAUGCUUUAAUUUAGUAGUGGAUUAUUAUAUUGAUGUCUUUUGGAUGAUUUUUGAGACAUGUGAACAAUAUGUAAACAAAUUUUGAUCUAAAAGCCAAUAAUAUCUUGAAACACCAAGACUGCUGUUGACAUCAUUAUAUAGUUACUGAUAAUUUUAUUGCAUAUCUGGCAGGUAAUAUGUAACUUGAGUAAUAAUUAUAGCUUUCGACAAUAAAUGAUAACAUGAAACUACAGUAUUUCCGUGUUGUGACCUAAAAUUAUUUACAAAUGAAGCAUAAGGUAUCUAGCACUGUUCAGUACGUAAGUGUCCCAUUUUAUGAAUUAUCCAAAGAAGCUUAAGAAAUUAAAACCUUUAGACAUAAGCACGGUAAAGUCGGAGGUGUUUUCUCUAAGCUCUUCCAAUGAAUUAACUACCUUUUCAUUUUAUAUUGACUCUUUGUACAGCUGAACUGAGAGUAUGACUCAAUUUUUCGAAGAUACAUGUAGUGAUGAUGUUUUCUAUAUCGUUUUGUCCGUUAAAAAUGGGUUUAAUAUACAAAAUAAAUACAAAAAAAAAAGGUACAAAAGAAGAACAAAAGAAAGAAUUGAAAAUUCAAGUUUCUGACAUAGCAAAUUAGACAAAGAAAAUAUAUAAAUACUUGGAUUAGCAUCGAUAGGCCAUAGAGUAGCGCCAGGAAUAGCGAGUAAAAAUCUUUUUAAUUACACCAAAUUUUCUUAUGAGAUGCAAAAUAUGUGCUCACAUGUUUAUUGAAGCUUUAAACUACUCUUCGAUAUCUUUAUCUGGCCCAAAAACUGGAAUUCCGUCCAAAUAUUCCCUAAACAAGAGAAAAUGUUCCACAAUGUCCGCCAUCUUUGUUUUUGAUGUGCACUCUCGCUGUGACGUCACAGUGCAGUUCAACAUCAAAUACGAAACAAUAGGCCGCACCUCUGAUGUUCGCCGGGUCUCCUAACCAGUCCCCUCUAUUAACUAUGCGAGAAUAGAGAAAAUAAUCACCAAUAAAGAAGCUGUUGAUUUUUAAACAAAU